GCAGUGGUAACUCAGUGGUUAAGGUGUUGGCCUACUGUUCAGAAGGUCAUGAGUUCAAGUCCUGGCACUGCU